CUCCUCCGCCUGUCUAUGAAUAUGUGAUAUCUAUCGAGCUGAAGGCUGCAGAUGAUGAAGUUGUAGCAGAGCUGAGAAACAUCAGCUAUCCAGUCAGCAUCAACAGCAACAUACAGAUCUCUGAUGUUAACAUCUCUACAGUCUGCUCUCCAAUCAGUGGUGAUUACCAGUGCAGAUGUGAGGAUCAGUAUCGUUUUCCAUGUGACCAGUGUGUAACAUAUGGAUCAUGUGACAACAUCACUGGUGACACAUGUGGAUGCAUCAGUGGCAUUCCUGCUAAUGGACAGUACUGCCAGGCUGAGGAUCAAUACAACUUUACAUCAUGUCCUGCUACAACACUUGCCCCA